rnacentral:rRNA from 1 species
GACGGAGGGGGCGAGCGUUGUUCGGAAUUAUUGGGCGUAAAGAGCUCGUAGGCGGACUGUCACGUCUGCUGUGAAAAGCUGGGGCUUAACCCUGGCCUUGCAGUGGAUACGGGCAGACUAGAGGUAGGUAGGGGAGAAUGGAAUUCCCGGUGUAGCGGUGAAAUGCGCAGAUAUCGGGAGGAACACCGGUGGCGAAGGCGGUUCUCUGGGCCUUACCUGACGCUGAGGAGCGAAAGCGUGGGGAGCGAACAGG